AUACAUUGUGCUGUGGUGGAUGGAAUCCUGGAACAAAGAAAGACAGGUAAAAACCAAGGAAAUCCAAAUAAACUAUGAAUUUUAGUUAAAAACAAUGUGUCAAUAUUGAUUUAUUAAUUGUAACGAAUGUAUUAGACUAGUGUAAGAUGUUAAUAAUAAGGGAAAUUGGGUGUGGGUUAUAGGAGAAUACUAUGUUGUAAAAAGUAAAGUCUGUUAAAAAAAAUUAUCUCUUCAGUGUUGUUCUUUUUGUUUUGAUGGACAAACUGAUUUGACUCAGACUCCAACUUCUGACUAACCUCUUGUGGCUGGUAGAUCAGUGUCCAUUUCGAUUCCAAAGCCCUUGCUGUGCUUUGCAAGCACCGUGUGUGUGCCACUCAUGGUCUCAUCUGGACGUUCUCGGGCUGGGGUUUAGAUUGCAACUCAGUUUUCAAAGCCCUUGCUAAAUGCUUCUUCAAGUCUAUUCCAUGCAUGUGCAUCUCAAGGGUGAGCCUGGGACUUAGGAAUGUCCAUUCACAGAAUUGGGGGAUGCCUGUCUUCAGCUCUCAUCUGGUGAGGCUGAGAGGUGAAGCCAGCUAGACUUCCUGGGUUAAGUGGGGACUUGGAGAACUUUUCUGUCUAGCUAAAGGUUUGUAAAUGCACCAAUCUGCACUCUGUGUCUAGUUAAAGGUUUGUAAACACACCAAUCAGCACUCUGUAAAAACGGACCAAUCAGCACUCUGUAAAAUGGGCAAAUCAGCUCUGUAAAAUGGACCAACUAGCAGGACGUGGGCGGGGCCAAAUAAGGGCACCUGAGCCAGCAGUGGCAACCAACUGGGGUCACCUUCCACGCUGUGGAAACUUUGUUCUUUCGCUCUUCACAAUAAAUCUUGCUGCUGCUCACCCUUUGGGUCCGCACUACCUUUAUGAGCUGUAACACUCACCACAGGGGUUUACAGCUUCAUUCCUGAAGUUAGCAAGACCACGAACCCACUGAGAGGAAAAAACAACUCCGGACGUGCCACCUGUAAGCGCUGUAACACUCACUGUGAAGGUCUGUGGCUUCACUCCUGAAGUCAGCGAGACCUCGAACCCACUGGAAGGAAGAAACUGGGACACAUCUGAACAUCUGAAGGAACAAACUCUGGACACACCGUCUUUAAGAACUGUGACACUCACCCUGAGAGUCUGCAGCUUCGUUCUUGAAGUCAGCGAGACCAAGAACCCACCAGAAGGAAUAAAUUCUGGACACAUUUUGGUGACCACGAAGGGACAAUCACCAAGCAUUUCUCUGUUGUUUUCUCAGGAAGGAGAAAUCUCCUUCCCUUUGCAGCCCAGCACAGUAGAAUUUGUACCCAAACAUCCUCAUUGGAUGGACAAAGCAUUCCACCGGGACAUAAUGGAACUUGUUGAAUGCCUGUGAGAGGUGAGAGAGCGUAUGUGAGAUGAACAGAGCUCCCUAGAGGCCUGGAUGAAGCUUGCAGUAACUUCUGUUGAUGUAUGGAUGCUGUUUUUUUGUUUUUUUGUUUUUGUUUUUUUUGAGAGGAACUUGCAUUUCUGGGUUUUUUUCUUCUUUCUUCCUUUUAUGAGUUUAAAAGGUAACUUUAGACCCACAUGGGUGAAAUUCUAUAGUAAUCUGAGAACAAAAUGAUGACAAAUGGCAUUAAAAUUGUACCUACCUUCUGUCUGGAAAACAAUUUUCUGGUUUAUUAUUGAUUUUUUUUCUGUAUUUUCCAUACCUCUAAUCAUUGGCACUGCUCAGGCUGAAGAAAUGAGUCUUCUGGGGCUCAGGAAGACCCAGGACAGUCUAUAAGCUGGAAGCCAACUCUGCCUACGAGACAUUAGCAGGAGGAGCAGAGAAAUGGUUUGGGGGGAUUUAUAAUGAAAGCUGGUGUUUUAAGCACUUUAGUGUGGGCCAGACACCAUUUUAAGAGUUUUGUAAAUGUGAACUGUUUACUCCUCACAACAACGCUGUGACAUAAUUUUUAUUAUUGUUCAGGUUUUAUAGGCAAGAAAACUGAGGUACAGAGAGGCGGGAAAUAUGCCCACAUCACACUGCUAUGAGGGCACUGUGGCUCCAGAAGCUUCAUCUUGAAUCACAAUAUCAUAACGAAGACAUUAGAGGGAAAGAGAGAAAGGGUAAGUACUCAUAUGCCUGAAACUCUGAAACCUUCAAGCUGUUUCAUUUGGUACAUUAAUUCAACAUAUAUUUAUUGAGCAGCUACAAAGUUCCAGGUACUGUGCAAUUUAAACAUAAUGUAUUUAUAGGGACUCUGAGGCCUGGGAAGGUCAACACAUCAGGAACUGCCUGCCAUUGAAAAGAAAGUUUGUUACUCACAGUUCCAGAGGAGGGGCCACGCCAUGCCACGGGGGUGGAGGGUGGAGGCACAGUGAAGCACCAGGUCCAUCUGGAGGCAGGAGGAGAGGGUAAGCCCAGGGCAGGAGCCUGCACAGCGGCUUCUGCAGGAAGGUGAGGCAAGGCAGGGUGCACAGGCUCAGUACCGUCUUGGUCUGAAUAAUUUCCGUAGCUCUGGGGCAGAAGAGCUCCCCCCAGUUGUCUGGAACCUGGCCCCAGGGUGACUGGUGCAGGCGGAUAGUGGCCCAUGUGUGAGAUCCCAAUAAUGGAGGUGGUUGAGGUGUGGGCUCUCUGGAUUGGUUGGUUUGUAUAUGAAAAGCACACUCCUGGGUGAGCUGUUCGCUAUCUCUAGAACUGGCUAAUCCUGGAAGAGGCAGUCCCUCCAGGAUCAGCAGGGCUGCAGAUGAUAAAGCCUGAAAUACAGAAAAUGAAAAGUAUGCUUAAUACCCUAUGUUCUAAAUGGUAGAAGACAGCAGGGAGCAAGGUGAGUAACAGGAAAGAGUGUGUGUGUGUGUGUGUGUGUGUGUGUGUGUGUGUGUGUGUAGACCAAGCAAAUCACUGGAAAACAUAUGUCAUUGUAAAUCUAAUUGUUAGUCUAUUUCAUUAUUAAUUUAUUAUAUGGUGACAUUUGAACAAAUGACUUAUCUGUGGUAAUCUUGCAACAACCCAGUAGGUGUGGAAUGUGGAGUCUAAUACUACACUCAGAAACCCUGGAUACCAGAGAAACCACCUGGAGCCUCAUUUACCUGAGAACCUGCUGAGCUAGACCUCCUGGGAGCUUGGUGAGGAUACUUUGGGUUGUGAGCAGCGAUCCAGGACAUUGGACUCUUAAAGAAGGAGGUGAAAGUUGCUUCUCACCUAUGUGGGGAAUGUCUGGACAAUGACAGCCCUCAUCCUGAGGAGGGAAAGAACCUCACCAUUGGUGGUCUCAGUUCUGAUCGGUGUAUCAUGGCAGCAGGACCCCCAGGAAGUAGGGCUCUGACAUCAAGUGACAGGCAGGGGGACAGUAUGUGGACCAUCUGGGUGAAGACAGGGCUUCCAUGAGCUGAGGGAUCAGGAAACUUCCUGAGAUGAGCAUGGGAGAGGAGGGGAGAGGCAAGGUGUUCAAGAAGGAAAAGUGAAGGAAAAAUAAUGGUCCAGGCUUGGAAAAUUUUCCCCAAUUUCCUCAGAAAAAGGGAUGUCAUCUGGAGAAGCAUGUGCCCUUUUGGAAGUCAGAAAAGAUAGUUGUGACCCUGGCAGGGAGAGAGCUUGCCACAGCCUUGUCAAAGAGUCAGUUAUUGUGGGUGAUAUGGUUUGGCUCUGUGUCUCCACCCAAACCUCAUGUUGAAUUAUAAUCCCCAGUGUUGGAGGAGGAGCCUGGUGGGAGGUGAUUGGAUCAUGGGAGUAGUUUUUUUUUUUUUUUUUUUUUGAGACAGAGUCUCGCUCUGUUGCCCAGGCUGGAGUGCAGUGGUGCAAUCUCGGCUCACUGCAAACUCCGCCUCCUGGAUUCACGCCAUUCUCCUGCCUCAGCCUCCUGAGUAGCGGGACUACAGACACCUGCCACCAUGCCCAGGUUAUUUUUGGUAUUUUUAGUAGAGAUGGGGUUUCAUCGUGUGAGCCAGGAUGGUCUCGAUCUCCUGACCUCGUGAUCUGCCCACCUCGCCCUCCCAAAGUGCUGGGAUUACAGGCGUGAGCCACCGCGCCCAGCCUCAUGGGGGUAGUUUUUAAUGGUUUAGCAUCAUCCCCCUAGAGCUGUCUCGUGAUAGAAUCCUCAUGAGAUCUGGUUGUUUGAAAGUAUGUAGCACCUCCCCCUUCUCCCUCUCUCUCCUCCUCCGCCAUAUGAAGAUGUGCCUGGUUCCCCUUCACCUUCUGCUAUGAUUGUAAGUUUCCUGAGGCCCUGCCCGCCAUUCUUCCUGUACACUCCGUGGAACUGUGAGUCAAUUAAACCUCUUUUUUCAUAAAUUACCUGGUCUCAGGUAGGUCCCUAGAGCAAUGCAAGAACGGACUAAUACCGUGAAGCAUGGGAAACACCUCCAGGUGUGCAUAAGAGCUACAUGGUGGUAUAAUGGAUUGCAACACAGACAACAGUUGCAGACAAAAGCCCUAGUACAUUUUCUGUGUCCCUGAAAAAGUUUAGCCACUUAAAUCAGUUUUGGUAACCACACCAAAACUUAGUGGCUAAAUCUCGUGAUUUGGUGGAUUGACUAGGAGUUUCUUCUGUUUUAAGUUGCUGGGGCACUGGGAUAAGUUGAAA
rnacentral:lncRNA from 1 species